rnacentral:lncRNA from 1 species
GGUUCGAUCCCUGGUCUCGAUCAGUGGGUUAAGGAUCUGGCGUUGCCGUGAGCUGUGGUGUAGGUCGCAGACAUGCGGCUCAGAUCCCACAUGGCUGUGGCUGUGGUGCAGGCCGGCAGCUGCAUCUCUGAUUUGACCCCUAGCCUGGGAAUCUCAUAUGCUGUGGGUGCGGCCGUAGAAAAGACAAAAAAAAAAAUUAAAAAACUUCAUUUGGGGCGAAUGGGAUGCACAUACCACUGAAGGAGUGCGGUUGGGACUUGCUUGGUGGCUAAUGAAUUAAAGACAGGGGCAUUCAGUUUCUGGUGACGUCCAGCAUGCCACCCCCUCGGGCCAGUGCCCUGUUUCCUCUGUCCUCUAGGCUACUUGUUGAUUGUACACCUGACCCCUGAACAGCACGAAGUUUGAACUGCGUGGGUGCACUUGCUCAUGGAUCUUAUCAGUAGUAAAUGCUGCAGUGCCACACAGUCAGAGGUUGGUCGAACGUGCAGAUGGGGGAACUGCAGGUGGGGAGCAUAGAGUUGGAGGGUUUUACGGGGCAUGGAGGGGCCACAUCCCUAAUCCUCACUUGUUCAAGGGUCAGCUGCUAACGCCAGCUCCUUUGUGUGCUUAUUAGUAAAUAGUAUCCACUUGCAUAAAAGCUUUGAGAUGUCUUAGUAUCAAAAUAUACAGAUGACAUACAAUUUUGUUUAUAUGCAAAAGUACAGGUUAUAAAAUGUCCAAGGAAGUCAGGACACAGGUCAUGGCGAUGCGGAAACCACUGGAAUCACCUAGUAGGAUUUCCUGCCUAGCCCUAACCCAUACCUGAAUCAGAACCUUUGGAAGCGGGGCCUGGAAGUACAUCUUCCUAACAGGUUGUGCUCUAGCGCAGCUGCUUUGAGAACCGGUGCUAGAGACUGAGAAUCAUAUAUGUAUGUUUUUAAUGCCGGACUUGAAGAUGUUUGUAUAAAGCAGGCCUGAAAUAGCAGGCUCUUUGUUAGGCAAAGAUAGAACCCUUUAUGAUGCUGUAUUGAAGGUUUAGCUUAAAAUUAGAAUUUCUGGGGUCCUCGGCCACCCGUACUGACUGUGCCCCACUGUUAAUGAAUUACGUUCGCUGAAAACUGUAGUACAGUAGACAGCCCACUUGGAGACGGCUUGGGCCUGCCGAGAAACGGCCACUGCCGCUCUUCUGAUGCCUUCCCCUUAUUCGGCAUCCUCAUUGCUGUGGUCUUUGGAGAGCAAAACCUAACUCAGGAGUUUAAGUGAAUUCGGUCUCAACAGGAAAGGAAGUGAUGGGGAGAACCGGAAACGGUGUCUCAGGCAUCGCUGCCCCGAAGACCCCUGCCUCCCAGUACUGUUCCUUCCGCUUCAUUUCACAUACACCCUGCUGUUGCCCAGCACAGAUGCGUUUAGGUUAACCCCCCUAGAAAGUACAGGACUGGGGUGGAGAGCAGCUGCUCACAGCCCGGCCAUGCAGUUGAUGCAUCCCUUCUAAGGAGCAUCAGGCUGCCCUGGGGGAAUGGGUGUUAGAAAUGAAUCUCUGUGUCUUUCCACUUCUCACCACCCUCGGUGGCACUGCCCGCCUCUAGACCUGCCUCGGGCCUUCUUCUGUUCCCCAGACCUCGCAUGCUCAUCCCCACCUCACAGCUUCCACGGACUCUUCCCUCUCCCUACAUCAUUCCAGAGCCGGCUCUUUCUCGCCCUUCGGCUCUCAACUCACGUCACCUGCCAGGGAGGCCUCCUCAUCGAAAGUCCCAAGUCCUCCAUCGCUCUGACAACACAGAACGUUGAUAGGAGUGAUUUCGUUUGCAUACUGUCUACCCCCCUCCAUGGAAGCGGAAUGGCCAGCGCCUAGCUUUGUUUUAGUGAGAUGCUCUCGGUCAAACGCAAGUAACAGAAAACGCAGUUGAAAUGAUGGAAGAGGCCAGGGGUGGGGCUCAUCCCUUGGCCCGGGCUAAUUAGGGCUCCCGCUCCGUUCCUCCGCGUCUUCUCCGCGUGCUGAGGACAUCCGCAGCCUUCCCUCCAGCCCGCGGCCGGAAUGACUGCAGCCAUGCCCGGCUUCCUCAGCACCCUGCGGACCAUCACCUAACCACCCAGCAACCCCCUGGGUUGGACUCUGGAGUAACUCCAGGUGCGUGCCCAGCAGUGAAACUAUCCUUUUGGCCACACGAUGCCGAGCAUUGGUGCGUUUAGGCUCGGACAAGUGUCCAGUCCCGAACCAAUUUCUUGGGGAUUAGACCGGUUGACUCGGGCCACUCAGUGCCCAGCCCUGGGGGAGGGGUUUGAUGCUGGAAGCCUCCCAGCCAUGCUGACCGCAGGGCUCAGCGGAUUGGGUAAGUGGAUGAGGCAGCGUGCAGUAUGUUACACGUGUGUGUAGAUACGGAUAUGGCUGUGCGUGUGCGUGUGGAUAUAGACGUAGGCACAGGUGUGCAUGGAGAGGUGACUUGGGAGUCAGGAUGGGGCCGGGCCUGUGACCAGGCCAUCUGCCAGAGGAUCUUAUGGCUGCAUGAGGGCUCGGCCCUAGGAGGUGGCAAGAUACCAACACAGUCCCUCUGUCCCAGAUUUUGUCAGGUCUGCCUCAGAAAGAAGACGGAAACAGGUGGAAGGUCUUCCUGUGUAACUAGUUCUCCUAGACUGUAGCAAUUGCAGUUGUCCAGCUAGGCUCCCACUGAAGACAUGUCCUGAGGACAGUAGUGGCUGGAGGCGGCCGGACAUUAGGUCUUGAGAACAUUCGCCGGCGCUCCACUGUGUGAUGCUGCAGUUCUGAGCAGCAGCAUCAGGUUCGGCUCUGGCUGUUAAUUAGGCAGAAAAAGACACAACAGAAUCUGGUUUUCUAAGCUGUGUGUAAACUGUACAAAUACGCACUUUAAAGAAAAAUGUAUGUUGCAGAGCCAGACUUUGUUAUUUUAAAAAUAUUCACAAUAGGAAAUGAAAAUGUUUUGGGGCUGUGAAAAAUGAAGUCUGUUCACAUUCCUACAUUCCAUUUCCUUCCAAAAAAUUGGACGUAGGACAGAUUGAGAGCACUGGGCCUUGUUUCCCCCUAGUACUUCUGCUUCUCUCAGCUGGAGACACAGCCCCUGUCAUCCACUCUUGGCUCACUUUUCUCUCCCAGCCCACCUUGUAGCAACUAGAAUUAAGAUUAACUAAAAGUUGAGGGGAAGAGGCAUAGAAAGCUCAGUAAAAUGGAAUAAGCAAGACAAAAGAGUUCCCCUGACUGCUGUGGCAAAAGGGCUGGCUGGUGGGGAAUGCCAGCUGUGGUAGGCAGAAUCCCAAGAUGUCCCCAAGAGCCCCGGGCCCUGUGUACAUACAUGCUUGGAUAGUCCAGCAGAGUAGCUCCCUUGAUUUGGUUGCUGUAUUCUUUUGCUCGGGCUCCCGUAACAAAGGAUCACAGACCAGGCAGCUUAAGCAGCUGGAAAUUUAUCUUUCCACCCAUUCCGGAGGCCAGAGGGCAGAGAUCCAGCUUGGUUCAGGGCUGGUUCUUUCAGAGGCCUCACUCCCUGGCGUGUGGACGGCCGCCUCCUCCCCGCGUCCUCGCAUGGUCUCCCCUCGGCGUGUGUCUGUGUCCCAAUCUCUUCUCAUAAGGACACCAGCCACGUUGCGUUAGAGCCCUUCCUAAUGACCUCGUUUUGAGGUGCUGGGGGGUUACCACCUCAGCAUUUGGGUUUGGGGAAAACACAAUUCAGCCCAUAACAGUUAGGCCGUAUCGAUGGUGGGCAGAGUAGCGGCUCCUCCGAAGGGCUCAGAGUGUUCAUCUCUGGAACCUGUGGAUGUGUUAGCGGACCCAGCAAAGGGGAGUUACAGGUGAAGGGGAGACGAAAGUCAGUGUUUAGCGGACCUUUUUAAAAAAAUUAUUUAUUUAUGUAUGUAUUUAUUUAUUUAUCACUGUACCUGUGGUGUGUGGUUGUGGAAGUUCCUGGGCUGAGGAUGGAACCCGCACCGCAGCAGUAACCGGAGCCACAGCAGUGACAGCACCCAGUCCUUAACCCGCUGAGCCACCCGGGAGCUCCUAGCUGACCUUAAAAGAGAGAAUCACGGAUUAUCUGGGUGGGCCCAGAGUUAGCCCAGGGGUCUUGUGGGAGGUUAAAAAAAUGGCACCCCAGAGAUAUAUUCACUUAACGAUUCCUAGAGCCUGUACAUGUUACCUCAAAUGGCAAAAGAGGGGAUGCUGAUUGCAUUUAGGAUUUUGAGAGGAGGAAUUUACCUGCAUUGUCCUGAUGGGAUAAUCUUUGAUCGUCCCCGAUAACCCCGAUAUAUGUAUAUCCUUCCUAGCAGGGAGGCAGAGAGAGUCUGAAAGAGACCCACACAGAGGAGAAGGCCAUGUGCAGAUGAAGGCGGGGAUUGGAGCAAUGCAGCCGCAAACCAACGAGGCCUGGAGCCCCCAGAGCUGGACGAGGCAGGGGCUCCCCUACAGCCUCUGAGGGAGGGGGGCCCUGCCAACACCUUGAUCUCAGAGUCCUGCCUUCCGCAACUGUGAGAGGAUGCAUUUCCAUCGUCAGUAUUUAUUGUUAUUGGCCUUGUUUAGGGCCGCACCCGCGGUGUAUGGAAGUUCCCAGGCUAGGGGUCGAAUCCGCUCCAGCUGCCGGCCUACACCACAGCCACAGCAAUGCAGGAUCCUUAACCCACUGAGCGAGGCCAGGGCUCGAACCCGUGCCCUCAUGGAUGCUAGUCAGGUUCAUUACUGCUGAACCACGAUGGAAACUCCCAUUUCCAUUGUUUUAAAGCACCAAGAUGGCAGAAAUCCCUUAACAGCUGCCCCAAGAAACUGCUUAAGAGAGUUCUGGGGCAAGUUUCAGGAUUUGGUUCUCAACCGGCCUGACCCCAACCCCACUUCCUGCCAGGCAGGCGAGCUCUAGCCUUCCCCGCAUGUCUACGCAGGCAGGUACCACAUCAGCCCGCUGUGCUCACACUGUGUUUGCCCAGUGCCCUGCCCCGUGCCCGACACGGACCAGCUGUCCAGUGUAUAUGUUGGGUAGAUGAACGCCAUUCCACAUUAUGUGCCUUUUAAGAGUUUUUUCCAUUGACUUUUUUUUAAUGAUAAUGUAAAGCUUUAUUUAGAAAAAAAGAAGGUCAUAUUUAGGACAAUGUCAAAAGUUUUUUUAACCAACUCCCAGUUUAAUGAAUAAUAGGGACGUAGAAAGAGGUCCUUCAAUUUAAAUAUGAGAGUGCUAGAAUGGAGUGUUCAAAGGAUGCAGAGUUUAAAUUUAUUUGGCAUUUUAUUUUAUUGAUUAUUUACUUUUUAUUGAAGUAUAGUCGAUUCGCAAUACUAUUAGACUUUUGAGUGUACAACAUAGUGAUUCAAUAUUUUUAUAGAUUAUACUCCAAUUAAAGUGAUUAUAAAAUAAAGGCUAUAUUUUCCUGCAGUGUACCUAUCCUUGUUGCUUAUUUAUCUUAUACAUAGUAGUUCAUACUUCUUAAUCCCCUACCCCCAUUUUGCCCCUGCCCCCCACUUCCCUCUCUCCACUUUUCUCUAUGUCUGUGACUCUGUUUCUGUUUUGCUGAAUUCAUUUAUUCUGUUACUAUGCUUAUUGAAAUGGUAAUUUGGAUAAAGACAAAUACUCUGCUGUCACUUAUAUGCAUAACCUAAGUAAAUAAAAUAAAUGAC